rnacentral:rRNA from 1 species
AUUGAACGCUGGCGGCAGGCUUAACACAUGCAAGUCGAGCGAGCGGCGGACGGGUGAGUAAUGUCUGGGAAACUGCCUGAUGGAGGGGGAUCACUACUGUAAACGGUAGCUAAUACCGCAUACCAUCAGAUGUGCCCAGAUGGGAUUAGCUAGUAGGUGGGGUAAUGGCUCACCUAGGCGACGAUCCCUAGCUGGUCUGAGAGGAUGACCAUCCACACUGGAACUGAGACACGGGUCAGACUCCUACGGGAGGCAGCAGUGGGGAAUAUGGCACAAUGGGCGCAAGCCUGAUAUAGCCAUGCCGCGUGUGUGAAGAAGGCCGUCGGGUUGUAAAGCACUUUCAGCGGGGAGGCGUUACUCGCAGAAGAAGCACCGGCUAACUCCGUGCCAGCAGCCGCGGUAAUUC